rnacentral:rRNA from 1 species
GUCCAGACUCCUACGGGAGGCAGCAGUGGGGAAUAUUGCACAAUGGGGGAAACCCUGAUGCAGCGACGCCGCGUGAGCGAUGAAGUAUUUCGGUAUGUAAAGCUCUAUCAGCAGGGAAGAAGAUGACGGUACCUGACUAAGAAGCCCCGGCUAACUACGUGCCAGCAGCCGCGGUAAUACGUAGGGGGCAAGCGUUAUCCGGAUUUACUGGGUGUAAAGGGAGCGUAGGCGGCGAUGCAAGCCAGAUGUGAAAGCCCGGGGCUCAACCCCGGGACUGCAUUUGGAACUGUGUGGCUGGAGUGUCGGAGAGGCAGGCGGAAUUCCUAGUGUAGCGGUGAAAUGCGUAGAUAUUAGGAGGAACACCAGUGGCGAAGGCGGCCUGCUGGACGAUGACUGACGUUGAGGCUCGAAGGCGUGGGGAGCAAACAGGAUUAGAUACCCCGGUAU